UACAAGGGGGAGGAGUUAUCGGUUAGGCUGUGUACUUUAUGUUCUUCAGAUAGUGUAGAAGAUGAAUGUCACUUUUUACUUCAUUGUUCCUGUUAUUCAAAGCUUAGAGUAAUCUUUUUUACCAGUAUCGGAUUUAACCCCACUGUGAUCAAUAUGUCAGAUUUAGACAAAACAAAAUUUCUAUUAUUAAAUUUCCCAAGACAAACUGCAAAAUUCCUGUUCUCCGCAUACACCUACAGACAAUCUACCAUAUACCAUAAUAGUAUAAGUCAUGCGUAAUACAUGUACCACUGUAUUUAUUAUUUAAUGUGGGGGGUGUGUUCUGUUAAAAGUGACAUAUAGGCCCGAUGGGCUGGGUGUUUAAAUUCCUAUUAUUCUGUUUAAUGUAUUUUUCAAUUCUGUAAUGUAUAAAACACAUGUCACUAUAAUAAAUCAUUUAUUUACUUACUUACAUUCCUAGAUGUAUUUGUGUUCGAUUAUGCAGAUGAGUUUUAAAUUACCUCGCAUGUUUGUAACAUUUGGGCACUAAACUGUAUGCGAAUAUUUGUCGCAUAUAGUACUUGUUCACAAAAUUCAGGACUAGUUAAUUUUGGAAUCAGCAUAUCUUAUAAUAUGAAUUUAAUGCAGUGUAGUUUGAAACCAUGCAAAGUUUCACACAUUAGACAUGAAUUCAGCAUUCUAAUACAAACAUGCACUUAUGAACACUUUUCAAUUUAAGUUCCUGAAAGUCCAUAUUGUAACCUGAAAGUCUAUUUACUGUUAUUUAGAAGUUUGAAUCUAAACCUACAACAUUUGCAAAAUCUGCAUCUACUCAACAAUACAAUUCGGUGUGCAUUAUUUCGACAAUAAGUUCUAUGGGGAUGUAUUCUACACAACUCGAUCUAGAACUCGGGUAUUGGUAGUAAAUUAAAGCAAAUCUAAUUAGAUAAUAUCUUCACCAUCUCUAUAUUAUUAUAACCCUCAACAAUAUAUAUCCAUGCACUUUGGAAGUGAUAUCAUACAAAUGAACAUGAUAUAAGCAUAAAAUAAUCGGCAAACUUAGAAGCUCUCAAAUGUGUACUGUUGAUUUAAAUAAAAAUAUAUUUACGAAUUUUUCACUUCAUACAUAUAUCACUGUUGCAUACAUAUGGGAAAUAGGUUACAUGGAUAUUUUCACACAUAUUCAUUUUGAAAUACGAACUCAAUAACAUAAGGUAUACUGUCUACAUUUCAUAUUCAUCUUAUUCUUUUAUGUAAGCAUAUAUAUGAUGUACACUUCUUUUUCAGAGAGAGAGAGAGAGAGAGAGAGAGAGAGAGAGAGAGAGAGAGAGAGAGAGAGAGAGAGAGGUACAUAAGUAUUAUUUUCUUGGUAACAUAUUUUGAUAACUAUAAUACAUGUACAUGUAGAUAUAGAUAUGAUUUACAAUGUAUCUAUUGAUCAAACCAAACAACACACAAAAAAGAAAAGGAAAAAAAAAAAGAAAGAAAAAAGAAACGCAAACGUAUUUGAUGAAAAAGUACAUAUAGACCUACAUGUAUAUACUGAUCAUGCAUAUGAGUUUUUACAUAUUCUCUGCCAGUGAAUUUCAUAAUCAUCAUGUCUACAGUUUCUUAGCAGCACGUACUUCUCAACCACAAUUCUGUCCGUAACUAUUUUUCUAAUCGCAGAUAUAUGUACUUGCGGACUAUUUUGAUAUUUACAAGAAAAAAUAUAUUGUUUUACUACAAGCAAAUCAAAUUUUGAAUGUCUAACUGUUGAUUUUUAUUAUACAUUUGUAGAAUCAAUAUUUUAUUUUUACUGACAUGUAUCCCGACUGAGAUAUUAAUUAUAGAAAAAGAAACUUAAGCAAUUACUUGAAUUUAGUAUAUAGUUCCUGUGUUUAAUCUAUCAUCUAAGGAUUUCAACGUUUUAGUUCAGUAAAAAUUGAGACUCCAGUAGUGAAUAAAACCACUUUAAAUGAAAGUAGAUGGUUGAGGGGCAGACGUACAUGUUCAUGUGUUUACAAAUAUCCUUGACAAUUGCGAGGCGAAAUUAAUGUGUUGCUAAGAAAAAAGCAGUUCAUUCUUCAAAACAUUUCCAUGUAUUUGGAUAUCUCACAUGCAGAAUUUCCAGUCUUGUAUAUACACUUACUUUAUAGCUCAUAUUGUGAGAACAGAAAAAAGUCGGGCAGAAGAGGGGCACCUUAUAAUACCCCAUAAAGAUGCAGAAGAAAGUUUGUGUGACUGUAUGCUACAACGGUAUUGAGUUUAUUUCGUGAUUUUUAGACCUCUAAUAAACGUAAACUUUUCAUUAUAACACAACAUAAAGCACACUACAGAUUAUUUACAUUUAAAAUUGUAAACAAAGGGCGGCCAUUUUGAACUUAGAGUCGCAGGGACGCUAUUUAAAAAAAUCCUAUGAUAUAGAAAAACGAUGCAGAAAUUUAACACAUGCAUGAUUUUUUAAAUUCAGACAUUUGUGAAACAAUUUACACGCAAAAUAAAUUAUAUAUCUAUAAAAUUAUGUUUUCCCAUAAAUCCUUUCCUGAUCGGCGCUGAUUGGUUGUACUUUUUCGGCGGGCAAAAUUGAUUGUUGUUUGUGAGAGAAAACCUAGCGUGACUCAAAUGGAACCAUGUCAUGUUUUGAUUAAAUGGAAGAUCCAAAGAUUUUUCUGAGAAUAGGAGACGUCUACUGUUGUUGGGCAUCAUUCAGGUAUGUCUUUUGGAGGGUAUUGAGUAAAAAUUUCUGGAACUUUUUAAAACAAUCUUCCAUUAUGCAUCCUCACUGAAUAUUUUAGUAUGAGUCUGUCCAUAGCCAAUACUGGCAAUUGCCGUCUCAUUUAAACAAUUUUUGACGGGAUAUCAUGUUAUCUCUGACUAUACAAAUUAUCCUUUUCUCAUAAAAGAGCAAUGAUAUUUAAUAUUCAUUUCAUAAUCACAACAGAACACAUCAAAACAUGCUUGAUAUUCACCUUUUAGAAUUUUAAAUACAAAAUAAAAAAAAAUAUCCUGUCCCGAUUCGGAAACAGAACGCUAUCUAACCUAUUCUUUCUCUAUAUAUAUCAUUGUAGGUUUUCCAGUGUUGACUUGAAACAUUUUCAUUCACGAUGUUGCGGAUUCAUCAUUGCAUUUGCAUGGAGUAGUGCAUAUGUUGUGUGUGGCCUUCUAAACGAUAAAUCUAUGGAUUAGAGGAUGAACAGGUCGAUGCAGGAAUAUUCAUUUUAAUGAUAAGGAAAUACGAAAUGCAAGGACAACCUCCAAGCAUGCAGUAUGCCUUAUACAAACAAUGAUGGGAUGUUCCAUUAUAUGGUGGCGCCCAGUUUUUAUUGGUGGAAGAGAGAACCCAGAUACAAUGUACCUGGGAAGAGACCACCGACCUUCCGAAAGUAUACUGGGAAACUUUCUCACUUAACGGCAUGAGCGGGAUUGGAACCCACGCCAACAGAGAAACUAAAGAGUCGAAAGGCCCAGCUGGAGAGAGAUUCCCAUUUCUUGACCAAGGAUGAAAAAAAAAAGAUUAAAAAGGUGCUGACUAAGGAUGCAACGUCUCCAGAAAUAACGGAUGAUAAGGAAGCCACCCAGAGGAAGGUCUUACCAUUUAUAUGGGAGUCAUCCCUGCUGCGUAUUGUUAAGUGCGACCUGGACAGAGAGUAUUUUGAAUCUUUGCAACUUCAAUCAAAGAGACAAAAAGCCAAGGUCAUUAGAAGUAGAACGGAAAUGACUAUGACCCCACCAUCUAGGAGCAUUCAAGAGUGGGCCGUUUCCUCUACUUAUAAAUGAUGCUAUUACUGUUAAUAGUUAUAUUUAAUUUCCUCAUUUCUAGCUCACCUGAGCCAAAGGUUCAAGGUAACAAUUAAUAAUAUUAUACCGUUAUAACCAGUUUUUAUGAAAUUUUAAUAAUGCUGUUGAAGGAGAAUUGCAAUUUUUGGGAUGUUUAUAUUUGAUACUGUUUAAGUAUGUCUAGCAUCUUAAAAAGUGUGAUGACCUAUCUAUUUCAUUUGAUAAUUUAUUAAUUUUAACUUUUAUAAAUUGAAAUAAAUGCAUUUUCGAUACUUUUAUCAGUGAACAUUGCAAGUAUGGAGUUACCUUGAUAUAUUUAUACAGAUUUGUUUUGCUUUAGUACUAGUGUAUCAGUAUUAUUACAUCAAGUUCAUUUGUGUGAAUAUUAUAAUAUUUAAGAAUGAAUAAAACUGUCAAAUUGUG